CUUUUAUUUACAUCUUAAUCGCCAGGGAACUACGAGCUAAGCUUAAAACCCAAAGGACUUGACGGUACCCCAUAUCCCCCUAGAGGAGCCUGUCCUAUAAUCGAUAAUCCACGUUUAACCUCACCAUUUUUAGUUAAUCAGCCUGUAUACCUCCGUCGUCAGCUUACCACGUGAGCGCCUAUUAGUGAGCUUAAUGUCCCCACCAAUACGUCAGGUCAAGGUGCAGCAAAUGAAAUGGGAAGAGAUGGGCUACACUUUCUAAAUUAGAAAAAACGAAAAACUACAUAUGAAACCUAGUUUGAAGGCGGAUUUAGCAGUAAAAAGGAAUCAACAUGUCCAUUUUAACUCGGCACUGGGGUGUGUACACACCGCCCGUCACCCUCUUCAAAGCUAAAACUAAGUCUUUAACAAAUAAGAGCAUAAU
rnacentral:rRNA from 1 species